AUUGAACGCUGGCGGCAGGCCUAACACAUGCAAGUCGAACGGUAGCACAGAGAGCUUGCUCUCGGGUGACGAGUGGCGGACGGGUGAGUAAUGUCUGGGAAACUGCCCGAUGGAGGGGGAUAACUACUGGAAACGGUAGCUAAUACCGCAUAAUGUCGCAAGACCAAAGAGGGGGACCUUCGGGCCUCUUGCCAUCGGAUGUACCCAGAUGGGAUUAGCUUGUAGGUGAGGUAACGGCUCACCUAGGCGACGAUCCCUAGCUGGUCUGAGAGGAUGACCAGCCACACUGGAACUGAGACACGGUCCAGACUCCUACGGGAGGCAGCAGUGGGGAAUAUUGCACAAUGGGCGCAAGCCUGAUGCAGCCAUGCCGCGUGUAUGAAGAAGGCCUUCGGGUUGUAAAGUACUUUCAGCGGGGAGGAAGGGAGUGAGGUUAAUAACCUUAUUCAUUGACGUUACCCGCAGAAGAAGCACCGGCUAACUCCGUGCCAGCAGCCGCGGUAAUACGGAGGGUGCAAGCGUUAAUCGGAAUUACUGGGCGUAAAGCGCACGCAGGCGGUCUGUCAAGUCGGAUGUGAAAUCCCCGGGCUCAACCUGGGAACUGCAUUCGAAACUGGCAGGCUGGAGUCUUGUAGAGGGGGGUAGAAUUCCAGGUGUAGCGGUGAAAUGCGUAGAGAUCUGGAGGAAUACCGGUGGCGAAGGCGGCCCCCUGGACAAAGACUGACGCUCAGGUGCGAAAGCGUGGGGAGCAAACAGGAUUAGAUACCCUGGUAGUCCACGCUGUAAACGAUGUCGACUUGGAGGUUGUUCCCUUGAGGAGUGGCUUCCGGAGCUAACGCGUUAAGUCGACCGCCUGGGGAGUACGGCCGCAAGGUUAAAACUCAAAUGAAUUGACGGGGGCCCGCACAAGCGGUGGAGCAUGUGGUUUAAUUCGAUGCAACGCGAAGAACCUUACCUACUCUUGACAUCCAGAGAACUUAGCAGAGAUGCUUUGGUGCCUUCGGGAACUCUGAGACAGGUGCUGCAUGGCUGUCGUCAGCUCGUGUUGUGAAAUGUUGGGUUAAGUCCCGCAACGAGCGCAACCCUUAUCCUUUGUUGCCAGCGGUCCGGCCGGGAACUCAAAGGAGACUGCCAGUGAUAAACUGGAGGAAGGUGGGGAUGGCGUCAAGUCAUCAUGGCCCUUACGAGUAGGGCUACACACGUGCUACAAUGGCAUAUACAAAGAGAAGCGACCUCGCGAGAGCAAGCGGACCUCAUAAAGUAUGUCGUAGUCCGGAUUGGAGUCUGCAACUCGACUCCAUGAAGUCGGAAUCGCUAGUAAUCGUGGAUCAGAAUGCCACGGUGAAUACGUUCCCGGGCCU
rnacentral:rRNA from 1 species